UACGUAGGGUGCAAGCGUUGUCCGGAAUUCUUGGGCGUAAAGAGCUCGUAGGCGGUGUGUCGCGUCGGCCGUGAAAACCUGCAGCUUAACUGUGGGCUUGCGGUCGAUACGGGCAUCACUGGAGUUCGGCAGGGGAGACUGGAAUUCCUGGUGUAGCGGUGAAAUGCGCAGAUAUCAGGAGGAACACCGGUGGCGAAGGCGGGUCUCUGGGCCGAUACUGACGCUGAGGAGCGAAAGCGUGGGGAGCGAACAGG
rnacentral:rRNA from 1 species